rnacentral:tRNA from 1 species
UCCCUGGUAGUCUACUGGCUAAGACUCUGCACUCCCAGUGCAGGAGGCUCAGGUUCAAUCCCUGGUCAGGGAA